AUGGCUGUCGUCAGCUCGUGUCGUGAGAUGUUGGGUUAAGUCCCGCAACGAGCGCAACCCUUGUCCUUAGUUGCCAGCAAUUCGGUUGGGCACUCUAGGGAGACUGCCGGUGAUAAACCGGAGGAAGGCGGGGAUGACGUCAAGUCCUCAUGGCCCUUACGGCCUGGGCUACACACGUGCUACAAUGGACAGUACAGAGGGCCGCAAUACCGCGAGGUGGAGCAAAUCCCAAAAAACUGUUCGUAGUCCGGAUCGGAGUCUGCAACUCGACUCCGUGAAGUCGGAAUCGCUAGUAAUCGCGAAUCAGCAUGUCGCGGUGAAUACGUUCCCGGGCCUUGUACACACCGCCCGUCACAUCAUGGGAGUGGGCUGCAAAAGAAGUGGCUAGUCUAACCUUCGGGAGGACGGUCACCACUUUGUGGUUCAUGACUGGGAUGAAGUCGUAACAAGGUAGCCGUAGGGGAACCUGCGGCUGGAUCACCUCCUUUCUAAGGACGUUUGCGGAGCAGGUUUGAUGAUUUUUUCAUUGGAUUUGUUUUGCGGACAUUUCCUUAUCAUUGGCGUCUUGAAAUGGCGCCGUCUUCGCAUCCCUUCUGAUUUUUACUGUGGUUCUGCUAUGGCGUAUUCGUGGUUUUUGCGGAUAGCAAGUUCCGGCGGAUUAGUCGGGCCUGUAGCUCAGUUGGUUAGAGCGCACGCCUGAUAAGCGUGAGGUCGGUAGUUCGAGUCUACCCAGGCCCACCAUCGCUUUUAAGCGGCGGGGGGUGUAGCUCAGUUGGGAGAGCACCUGCUUUGCAAGCAGGGGGUCGUCGGUUCGAUUCCGAUCACCUCCACCACGCUUCCGGAUUUGGGUUUUUUGGAUUUGAAUUCUGGGGGAUGGUGUUGAGUGGCGCUUUUAAUGGCCACAAUUUUACGGAUCACAGUAAAUGAUGAGAUUGAUUGCCUGGCAUUGUUUGCUGGGCAUGAUUUGCUCUUUUGAUGGUGAAGAGGUUUUGCAAGAAGUCUGGAUGCGGUUCUCCGGAAGGUAUGUCUCGUGCGUGUUUAGUGUGGGAUGGGUUGCCGGUUGUGGAGGGUGUGUUUGGAUUAACAAACUGACUGUGCUCUAAAAUCUUCGUGGGCUUGGUUUUACGUUGUUGUGCAUGCUGAGGCAUGAGUUACGCAGGUAUUGUGAUCUGUGUUUUUUGUGUUUUGCACUGUAUGCGUGGGAUCAAGUAGAGAAGAGCAUUUGGUGGAUGCCUUGGCACUAAGAGGCGAUGAAGGACGUAGCACGUUGCGAUAAGUCCCGGGGAGCUGCGAGCAAGCUUUGAUCCGAGAAUUUCCGAAUGGGGAAACCCGG
rnacentral:sRNA from 1 species